GUGUCAAAUGUAAACAUUCACACACACGCAGCAUUCUUCCUUCUGUAAUCACUUCCCCACAGCAGCCAGCACCUGCUCUCCAUGACUCAGCAUUCCGAGCCCAAAGUUGCUUUUUUGCUCCUGUCCCUGGAGUUUCAGCUGCUUCCUGUAGCAGGCCAGCUGCCCUGAGAGCGGGGGAAGAAAAACCCACCAGCACAUCUAUGCUACAUUUCAUAAAGAUGGAAUCACACAACACAUGGGCCUUUGUGACGGGCUUCUUUCACUGGGCGUAAUGUUUUCAAGGUUCAUCCAUGUUGUAGCAUGUAUACGGCUCUGCAAAUAAUUAGUUUGGACCAAGAGUAUAUGAAUGAAAGUGAUGCAUGCGACCUCCAGAUUAUAUCUUUAAAAAACAAGCAAACCUGGUUGCCUUCCUCUUCUUUUUCCCCUCCUCCCCAACUGGAAUGCUAAUAUGAUAUUUGGCUACGAUGAUGAGGACGACAUUGCUUUGGGGCAGCAACAGGACAGACGUAACCUGGGUCCUUAGAUACUCCUCGAUCAGAGCUGCCUCAAGAACCUAACCUACCUUCUUCUGAAGUAUUAUGUGAGAGAGAAAUAAACGCACUGU